AAUUCAGGACAUGGCCCAGUAAUUCAUAAUGCUGAAGCUAAAAUUCAACAAUACAUUUCUCACAGAAAUAUUCGAGAGCAGCAAAUUCUUACAUUAUUUCGUGAGAAUUUUGAGAAAUCAUUUACAGUAAUGGAGCUUGUAAAAAUUAUUUACAAGAAUACUCCUGAGAAUUUACAUGAAAUGGCUAAACAUAAUCUCUUACUUCAUUUGAAAAAACUAGAAAAAGAAGGAAAAAUAUUUAGCAACACGGAUCCUGACAAGAAAUGGAAAGCUCAUCUUUAGUUUCAGAUUAAAGAAAGCUUUGUUUUAUUUUGCUUUGAGAGAAUGGUAUGUUUUCUUAACUAUAGGUUAUUUUAUAGAGAAUAUAAAAGUAUAAAACAUUAAAAAUAACCCUAGAUAUACUUUAAAAUAAUGUUAUAUUUAUGCUAAAAUAUGUAAA
rnacentral:lncRNA from 1 species